GUUCCACAAAAUUUUUUUAUUUAGAUUUACUUUCUUUCAUUCUCAGACACAAUUAUUUUGUUUUUAAUGGCACAUAUUAUUUACAGCUGAGAAGCACAGCUAUAGGGACGGCUUGUGCCCCCAGCUACGCAAAUCUGUACCAACAGUGACAGCACAUCGAAAUAGACUUCCAGCAAUCUCCUGUAGCUCUACUACCUAGUUAAGCUCUGAUACGUACGGAAACCCUUUUUACUGCACUAUCAUAAGCAAUUGACGAUACUAGGAGCUGACAGUUUAUUCUGAUAUUUAAUCAGCAAUUGUAGCCACUUUUUAGUGUAAUUGGUGAGCAAGGUUUUUGCACUCUCUGCUUCCUAGGCAGGAUUUCUGGUGGGAGGCUGUAUAGACCAGUGUUUAGGGACUUGCAGGCUUUAUUUAAGGGGCGCCCUCUAAGGCACAAGUACUUAGGGACUUUGAGAAUUACUCAGGAAUUUCUCCACUAUUGUUGUCUUAAACCCACACUAUCUCUGUGAUAUAUAUAUAUUCCUACAUAGGGAUAUUAAUAACCCAUUCUGGUUCUCCCUCCCACACAACAAUAUAUGGUCUGAGACACCAAC